rnacentral:rRNA from 1 species
GUCGGCCUGUUCUGUGCUGGUGUGGUCAAACACACAUGUGCACGUCUGGUCGCAAUCCACACACCUGUGCAUCUAUGACUCGAGGUUGUAAUGACUGAGAGUACUUUUUAUACACUCUGAAUGUAAUGGAAUGUCUAUGUGCUAUAAUGUACAAAUAAACAACUUUCAACAACGGAUCUCUUGGCUCUCGCAUCGAUGAAGAACGCAGCGAAAUGCGAUAAGUAAUGUGAAUUGCAGAAUUCAGUGAAUCAUCGAAUCUUUGAACGCACCUUGCACCCUUUGGUUUUCCGAAGGGUACACCCGUUUGAGUGUCAUUGUAAUCUCACUUUAACAUUUAUUUGUUGAAUGUGGACUUGGAUGUUGCCGUGUUAUUACGGCUCGUCUUAAAUGCCUGAGUGUACCUUGCUUUGCAGCGUAUCCGAUGUAAUAAAUAUUUCAUCAGAGUUGGUCGCAAGACCGCGUUUUGUAUUGUCGAGCUCUAUGCUUCAAACCGUCCUUUAUGGACAAAUUUAAACUGACAAUUUGACCUCAAAUCGGGUGGGACUACCCGCUGAACUUAAGCAUAUCAAUAAGCGGAGGAAAAGAAACUAACAAGGAUUCCCCUAGUAACGGCGAGUGAAGAGGGAAAAGCUCAAAUUUUGAAUCUGGUGUCUUUGACUCCCGAGUUGUAAUCUAGAGAAGUGUUUUCCGUGUCGGACCGUGUACAAGUUCCCUGGAACGGGGCGUCAUAGAGGGUGAGAAUCCCGUAUAUGCCACGGACUACCGAUGCUCUGUGAUACACUCUCAACGAGUCGAGUUGUUUGGGAAUGCAGCUCAAAAUGGGUGGUAAAUUCCAUCUAAAGCUAAAUAUUGGCGAGAGACCGAUAGCGAAACAGUACCGUGAG